rnacentral:lncRNA from 1 species
UUGCUCUCUAAACCUUAAUCAUGAUCCUUUGUGUCUAGAGCCAAUGUUGCUUUUGGAGUAAGGACUUGGUUUUUUUUUACGUUUUCAGAUAUUGCCCAGGUGGCUGAAGGCCUGCACUAGGGUACCUACCUCCUUUUCGGAUAGACUGUAUUCCCUUUCCAUGUUUUAGCUGUACCUGUGACACAGGACACGAGAGAACGUGCUCAUGUGAACACAAGUGAAGGACACCGUGGGGACUUGCCACACAGAUCCCAGCACGUGGACUGUGUACAGGGCAUUUCUGCUGAAACGCUAUGUCUAGUUUUCUGCAUACAGCCCCAUUCCUUCUCUAACAAGAGACGCCUGUACCAACCCAUGGUGAGGGAAAGGACAAAGAUGAGAU